rnacentral:rRNA from 1 species
CCUACGGGAGGCAGCAGUCGAGAAUCAUUCACAAUGGGGGAAACCCUGAUGGUGCGACGCCGCGUGGGGGAAUGAAGGUCUUCGGAUUGUAAACCCCUGUCAUGUGGGAGCAAAUUAAAAAGAUAGUACCACAAGAGGAAGAGACGGCUAACUCUGUGCCAGCAGCCGCGGUAAUACAGAGGUCUCAAGCGUUGUUCGGAAUCACUGGGCGUAAAGCGUGCGUAGGCUGUUUCGUAAGUCGUGUGUGAAAGGCGCGGGCUCAACCCGCGGACGGCACAUGAUACUGCGAGACUAGAGUAAGGGAGGGGGAACCGGAAUUCUCGGUGUAGCAGUGAAAUGCGUAGAUAUCGAGAGGAACACUCGUUGCGAAGGCGGGUUCCUGGACAUUAACUGACGCUGAGGCACGAAGGCCAGGGGAGCGAAAGGGAUUAGAUACCCGUGUAGUC